rnacentral:rRNA from 1 species
CCUACGGGAGGCUGCAGUGGGGAAUAUUCCACAAUGGGGGACACCCUGCUGCAGCGACGCCGCGUGGGUGAAGAAGUAUUUCGGUAUGUAACGCCCUAUCAGCAGGGAAGAAAAUGACGGUACCUGACUAAGAAGCCUCGGAUAGAUACGUGCCAGCAGCCGCGGUAAUACGUAGGGGGCAAGCGUGAUACGGAUUUACUGGGAUUAAAGGGAGCGUAGACGGUCAGACAAGUCAGAAGGUAAAGCCAUGGGCUAAACCCUGGAACUGCUGUUGAAACUGCAGGGCUGGAGUGCAGAAGAGGUAAGCGGAAUGCCUGGUGUAGCGGUGAAAUGCGUAGAUAUUAGGAUGAACACCAGUGGCGAAGGCGGCUUACUGGUCUGUAACUGACGUUGAGGCUCGAAAGCGUGGGGAGCAAACAGGAUUAGAUACCCUUGUAGUC